rnacentral:rRNA from 1 species
ACUCAAAGGAAUAGACGGGGGCCCGCACAAGCGGAGGAGCAUGUGGCUUAAUUCGAUGCAACGCGAAGAACCUUACCUAGGCUUGACAUGUGACUGCACGGCGUAUGAAAGUACGUUUUCUUCGAGAGUGUCACACAGGUGCUGCAUGGCUGUCGUCAGUUCGUGCCGUGAGGUGUUUGGUUAAGUCCACCAACGAACGCAACCCUUGUGUUUAGUUGCUUGGGGUAAAACCCGGAACUCUAAACAGACUGCCCGUUUUAGGGAGGAAGGUGGGGAUGACGUCAAGUCAGUAUGGCCCUUACGCUUAGGGCUGCACACGUGCUACAAUGGGAGGUACAGAAGGAAGCAAGACCGCGAGGUGGAGCAAAUCCUAUAAAACCUUCCUCAGUUCGGAUUGGAGUCUGCAACUCGACUCCAUGAAGUUGGAUUCGCUAGUAAUGGCACAUCAGCAUUUGGUGCCGUGAAUACGUUCCCGGGCCUUGUACACACCGCCCGU